rnacentral:lncRNA from 10 species
CGCCUCCCAAAAUGCUGGGAUUACAGGUGUGAGCCACCGUGCCCAACAACAUUCAUAUCUUCUAAAUAUAUCAAGUCUGCCCCUUUCUCUCCACUUCCACUUCCUCCAUACAGGGCCACCAUCUUCUCUUACUGAGACCAUUAUAAUUUCUUACUUAAGUCUCUUUGCUGGCUCCUCCACUUACCCUAGUUGCCCCUCCAACAUUUCCUCCCCAACAGCCAGAGAGGUUCUGUUUGUUUGUUUGUUUAAGAGAUAGUUUCUUGGGGUCACAGGUAUGGGUACUCCAGGGCCCAGCUCUGAGAUGACUAAUUUAUUGGACACCUUGGAUGACUGGCCUGGUGGAGGCCUGUGCCCAGGCAAAGGCCUAAGUCUUCCAUACAGUGGAGAGGAAGACCUGGUAGGUUGAGACAUCUUUGAUAGGUGGUAUAAAAGUCCUCAGUUUCUUUUCUUUCUUUUUUUUUUUUUUGUAUUUUUCACUGAUAUAUCUUAGUUAUACAUAUUUUGGGGGUACAUGUGAUGUUUUGAUCCGUGUAUACAAUGUGUAAUCAUCAAAUCAGGGUAAGUCUUCAAUUUCAGUGGAGGUACCAAGAGAUCCAUCCUGGUUUAGAUGUCUGAGCAAUGUUUUAUGUGUAUAAGUUUUGCCUAUCUUCCAUCAAAUUUACUUCUAAGAAUUUUAAUUUUUUGAUGUUAUCAUACAUGAUAUUUUUAUUUUCCAAUUGUUCCUGGCAUAUAAAAUCAACUUUUGUAAAUUAGGUUUAUAUUCUGCAACUUUUUUUAAAUUCACUUAUUGACUCUAGUAGAUUUUUGUAAAUACCUUAGGAUUUUCUAGGUAGACAGCAAUGUUGUCUAUGAAUAGAAACAGUUUUACUUUCCCCUUUAUUACCUUUGUACCUUUUUUGCUUGCCUUAUUGCAAUGGUCAGUAUCCCCAGUAGAAUGUUGAAUAGAAUUGGUAAGAGUAGUUAUCCUUUCCCUGUUCAUGAUCUUAGGGCAGAGGAUUCAUUCAGUCUUUCACCGUUAAGUACAAUGUUAGCUGUAGGUUUUUCAUAGUUUUUUUUUUUUUUUUUUUGGUCAGAAGAAGUUCACUUUUCUUCCUUAUUUAUUGAAAGAUUUUUACAUAAAUAGGUACUAAAUUUUGUCAAAUGCUAUUUCUACACCUAUUGAAAUGAUCAUAUGAUUUUCUCCUUUAUUUUAUAAAUGUGGUGUGUUACAUUGAUUGGCUUUCAGGUGUUGAACCAACCUUGCAUUCCUGGAAAAAAUUAUAUCUCAAAUUGAUUUUUAAGAAAAAAAAGAAACAGAAGGGGAAUCUUUGGGUUAAAAGAGCUAUAAAAGAUAAAAUCAAGGCUGGGUGUGGUGGCUUAUGCCUGUAAUCCCACCACUUUGGGAGGCUGAGAUGGGCAGAUUGCUGAGGCCAGGACUCUGAGACCAGCCUGAGCAACAUAGUGAAACCCUGUCUCUAGUCAAAAUACAAAAACUUAGCCAGGUGUCAUGGCGUAUACCUGUAAUCCCACCUACUCAGGUGGUUGAGGCACAAGAAUUGCUUGAACCUGGGAAGCAGAGGUUGCAGUGAGCCAAGACAGAGAUUGCAGUGAGCCAAGAUUGCACCACUGCACACUCCAACCUGGGCACAAAACGUGCUCUGUCUCAAAAAUAAAAUAAAAUAAAUCACAAUGUUUAGAUCUCAUUUAGAUACUGAUUUCUUUUAAGUGCAAAAGAAAUAUUUUUAUUUUUAUUUUUAUUUUUAUUUUAUUUUAUUUUUUUGAGACGGAGUCUCGCUCUGUCGCCCAGGCUGGAAUGCAGCGGCGUGGUCUCGGCUCACUAUAAGCCCCGCCUCCCGGGUUCAUGCCAUUCUCCUGCCUCAGCCUCCCGAGUAGCUGGGACUACAGGCGCCCGCUACCAUGCCCGGCUAAUUUUUUGUAUUUUUAGUAGAGACAGGGUUUCACUGUGUUAGCCAGGAUGGUCUCGAUCUCCUGACCUCGUGAUCCGCCUGCCUUGCCUUCCUAAAGUGCUAGGAUUACAGGCGUGAACCCCCGCGCCCAGCAAGAAAUAUUUUUAUAAGCAGUUGGAAGUUUGAACACUGAUGAGAUAUUCAAUAACAGCAAGACAGAAUUACUAUUGAUUUUUUAGGUGUAAUAAUAAUGAUAUUGUAGUUAUUUUUCUUUUUUGAGACAAGGUCUCCUCUGUCUCCCAGGCUGGAGUGCAGUGGCACGAUCUUGGCUCACUGCAGCUCCACCUCCCGGGCUCAAGUGAUCCUCCCACCUCAGCCUCCUUAGUAUCUGGCACUACAGGCACAUGCCACCACACCUGGCUAAUUUUUGUAUUUUUAGUAGAGAUGGGUUUCAUCAUGUUGCCCAGGGUGGUCUUGAACUCUUGGCCUCAAGCAAUCUGCCUACCUCGACCUCCCAAAGUGCUGGGAUUACAGGCAUGAUCCACUGCACCCAGCUUGUAGUUAUAUUUUUAUUGAAAGAUUUAUAAAGUUUUAGAGCUAUGUACUGCAAUAUUAAUGAAUAAAAUGGUUUCUGAAGCAAGGUUUUGAUGGUCCCCAUGACUCUUAGGUUCAAAUCUCAAUGGCUGUACUUCCUCCUCUGCCCUUACCCACUAUACUGCUGCUGCCGGCCUGGCUGUGGUUGUUUCAACGUGUCAAGCCCUUUUUGCCAUGUGGUCUUUCCACACACUGCUCCUUAGUGAUGCCUCUUAUCCUUUCCCUCCCCCACCAGAUCAGUUGCUUGUCAUAAGCUCUGAUACUGGCACAGAGCAGAGGGCUGAGGCCUCCAGCAAGAAAAUGGAAGAAUGUGAGCGCUCUGGUUCCUGCUGUCUCUCCCCACUGCUCUUAUCUUAGCCUGGAUGACUGUGACCUCUCACAUGCACCUCUGCAGGAGACACCUCACCUAUCCUCCUGCCUGUGCUCACCAUCCCCUCUGCUCCAUGCUCCACAUUGCAGCUGGGGGCUUUUCUAAGAGUCAGCUCUGACCUUUUCUUUUUUUGAGAUAAGUCUCGCUCUGUCGCCCAGGCUGGAGUGCAGUGGCACAAUCUCGGCUCACUGCAAUCUCUGCCUCCUGGGUUCAAGCAAUUAUUCUACCUCAGCCUCCAGAAUAGCUAGGAUUACAAGCGCCCACCACCGCACCUGGCUAAUUUUUGUAUUUUUAAUAGAGACGGGGUUUCACCAUGUUGGCCAGGCUGGUCUCGAACUCAACCUCAGAUGAUCCGCCCACCUCGGCCUCCCAAAGUGCUGAGAUUACAGGCGUGAGCCACCGCGCCUGGCCUCAGCUCUAACUUUGGUGGCCACUUGUCUGAGUGGCUACAGGGCAAGCUUAAUGGAUGUGACCUCAUCGAAUGCCCCCAGCCACCUAAAGGCAUAGAUACAGCCUGUGUACAGAGCCCUGGAGUGGGCUUCCUCCUGCCUCCGUUUCUCGCCUCUGCCACCCAAGGGCUCUGGACCUGCUGGGCAUGAAGGGGCCUGGGUGUGUAGAGACUUCAAGGAUCUCACCCUGAAACCUCCUUGUGGUUGGCACCAGAAGCCACUUUGCCACUGCCCAAGCCUGGGCAUUGGCCCUGGGAAAAGAGAGUGUCCUCCAGGCCAGACCCUAGGUUGCCAGUCCUCGCCCACAGGAACACAGAGUCCAGUUGUUGGGUUCGUGGAAAACCCACAUCAGGGAGUUCAAUGCCUGACCUGCAGGCCUGUUUUCCACCCCUGAUGGUGCAAACAGACUCGCAGAGGUCAGGUGGCACCAGGGGGCUGGGCAGCUUGGACAGAGUCUUGGCCAAUGACAGCUGGCAGCUAGAGAAAAAGAAGUGGCAAACACCCUUUUUGGAUGGAAAAUACUCUCUGGCUCUGGCUGUGGCUUGCUUGGGAGGGGCCUCCUCUGCUUGGUAACCUUCCUUAGGGGCGGGGUAAGCAGUUGGAGUGUAGGGGAGGAAGGGACUGGGUCAGAAUCUACCUCCAAGGCCUGGUCUGCCUUGGGCUUUCUGUGUGACCUUGGGUAAGUCACUCCUUUCCCCCGGCCUCCGCUCCAUAGCCUCAAAUGGAAAAGGAGGGAAAAGUGGGGAGGCAGGGGGCUGAAUAGACACUCCCUUUUUAGCUCCUCACAUCUUGAAUUGCCAAGGGCCCUUGUCUUCAGCCUGCCCCUGGCCCUCUCUCUCUUCCCCCUUCCUUGGAAAGUGGAGGCAGGGGAGCCUGGUGGUCAGAGCCCAGGACUCUGGAGUCAGAUGGACCUGGGCUGAGUCCUUCUCUUCCCCUCCAGGCUGUGUGAGAUAGAUAAGUGGCUUCCUUCUCUGAGCUCUCCUUCUCUCAUUUGUGAAAUGGGGAUGCUGUUUCUUGGCUCUGGAGCUCCUGGAAGGACUAAGUAAACCCAAGUUGCCGGGCACGGUGGCUCACGCCUGUAAUCCCAGCACUUUGGGAGGAUGAGACAGGCGGAUCACGAAGUCAGGAGAUCGAGACCAUCCUGGCUAACACGGUGAAACCCCAUCUCUACAAAAAAAAAAAAAAAAAUUAGCUGGGCGUGGUUGGUGGCGGAUGCCUGUAGUCCCAGCUACUCUGGAGGCUGAGGCAGGAGAAUGGCAUGAACACAGGAGGCGGAGCUUACAGUGAGCCGAGAUCGCGCCACUGCACUCCAGCCUGGGCGACACAGUGAGACUCUGUCUCAAAAAAAAAAAAAAAAAAAAAAACCUCAAGUCUGUAAGACACUGGACAAAGACUUAACAAGUAGUAGUUUCACAAACAUGGAAGGCCUGCGUGAGACUGGGAGCGGCCUGCAGGAGACAGCAGGGGUGAGAGAGGAGUGGCACCUCCCCUCUGUGGGUCUCCGCCUCUGCAUCACCUCCACAAAGUCCCCAGCUCCAUAAAAAAUUAACAGCCUAGCGAAGAGCAGUGCUCCAGUUCUGACCCGUUGACCCCUGGCGUUGCACAAAGAGGGGCGUUCGGCCCAAGGAAGGCCCUCACAGGUGGACCCUGGACGAAUAGGGUACAGGAGGGCCUGGGAAGCCCCUCCCGCACUUCUUCCCGCCUCCUCUAAUCUCUCCACCCAGCCUGGACUUCCAUCAUCAGUAAUUUCUGUGGUUUAAACCAGAGAUCAGCAAACUCUGGUCUGAACUUGUUUUUGUAAAGCCUGCGUGCAAACUAAGAAUGGCUUUUACAUUUGUAAAUGGUUGAAAAACAUCAAAAGAAGAAUAUUUCAUGGCACAUGAAAAUGAUAAUAAAUUUGAAAUGUAAGUGUCCACAAAUAAAGUUUUAUUGGAACACAGCUGUGCCCAUCUGUUCAUGGGUCCUCCGGGGCUGCUUUUGCGCUGCAAUGGCAAAGGUAAGUCAUUUUGACAGAGCUUGAAUGUCCCGCAAAGCAGAAAGUACUAUCUGGCCCCUAACAGAAAAACUUUGCAGACUGGUUUGAAGGAAACCUACAGUAAGAAGCAUCCUGGAGAAGGUUCUACUGGGGCUGUUAGGUGGGAAUCAAGAGUCCCAGUUUGACCAUUAACCAGUCACACCUCAGUCAAGUGACUGGAUCAUGUUCCCUCCCUGUACCCCCCUUUCUGCAUCUGUAAAAUGGACACAGCGAUUUUUUCUCUGUGUACCCAGAACAGCUCUGUUAAGACAGCCUGAUUGUCGUUCAUCUCUAGAAGGAACUAACUCAGACAACUUUCCUCAUUGCCCAGAUGAGAGGGAGGGGACAAUUAGGGGGAGCCAACACGCAGAUAUGCAUUGACUUUCUUAAAAACCAUUUUCGUUAGAGAUGGGGUCUCGCUCUCUCACCCAGGCUGGAGUGCAGUGGCCAAAUCAUAGCUCACUGUAGCCCCAAACUCCUGGGCUCAAGGGUCUUCCCUCCUCAGCUUCCCAGGUAGCGGUACUACAGGCAUGCACCACCACACCUACCUAUACAUGUGCUCUUGUAUAGGUCACUCAUCAAAGCCAAAGUCCCUGUGGUGGCCCAAAGACCUCACAGGAUCCACCCCACCCCCUUGACCUUUCUGUCUUCCCUUUCUCCCACCUCAUUCAUCUCCAGCCUCCCCAACCUCCUGGCUGGACCCUCCUGCCUGAGGGCCCUGACACUUGCUGUCCCCUCUUCUCCUGCCCUGACCGCCUAUUAAAACUAUCCCAGGGGCCGGGCACAGCGGCUCACAUCUGUAAUUCCAGCACUUUGGGAGGCUGAGGCGAGUGAAUCACUUGAGGUCAGGAGUUUGAGACCAGCCUGGCCAACAUGGUGAAACCCCGUCUCUACUGAAAAUACAAAAAUUAGGCCAGGCGCGGUGGCUCACGCCUGUAAUCCCAGCACUUUGGGAUGCUGAGGUGGGUGAAUCACCUGAGGUCAGCAGUUCGAGACCAGCCUGAUCAACAUGGAGAAACCCUGUUUCUACUAAAAAUACAAAAUUAGCUGGGCAUGGUGGUGCAUGCCUGUAAUACUAGCUACUCGGGAGGCUGAGGCAGGAGAAUGGUGUGAACCCGGGAGGUGGAGCUUAAAGUGAGCCAAGAUCGCGCCACUGCACUCCAGCCUGGGCGACAGGGCCAGACUCUGUCUCAAAAAAAAAAAAAAAAAAGACUACUUAGGAAUUGUUGCACUACACUUCCAUCCAUCCAUUCGUCCAACAAAGGCCCUUCCUGUAGAUGAAUUAGAUGAAUUAUUAAGGCCAGGGCCUAGAAAUGGCCCUUGCCUUCAAUAAUCCAUCCCCCAGAAGGGGAGAUGCUAUCAGGAAAAAGAUAGCUCAGAAGAGGACUGCAAGUGAAAGCCAGGGGUGAGCUGCAAAGGAUACAAGAUGACAAGCAAGCCAUAAAGAAGCCCGCUGUAAGAGUCUAUGACUGGAAAGCGACAAGAGUUAGAAGAUAAAAAUAGGCUGGGGUAAGCCAGGUGCAGUGGCACAUGCCUGUAAUCCCAGCACUUUGGGAGGCUGAGGUGGGCGGAUCCUUUGAACCCAGGAGUUCCAGACCAGACUGAGCAACAUAAUGAAACCUCAUCUCUACAAAACAUUUAAAAAAUUAGGCCGGGCGCGGUGACUCACGCCUGUAAUCCCAGCACUUUGGGAGGCCGAGGCGGGCAGAUCACCUGAGGUCAGGAGUUUGAGACCAGCCUGACCAAUGUGGAGAAACCCCAUCUCUACUAAAAAUACAAAAUUAGCCGGGCGUGGUGGCGCAUGCCUGUAAUCCCAGCUACUCGGGAGGCUGAGGCAGGAGAAUCACUUGAACCCAGGAGGCGGAGGUUGCGGUGAGCCGAGAUAGCACCAUUGCACUCCAGCCUGGGCAACAAGAGUGAAACUCCAACUCAAAAAAAAAGAAAAAAAAUUUAGCCAGGUGUGGUGGUGCAUGCCUGUGGUCCCAGAUACUCAGGAGGUUGAGGUAGGAGGAUCGCUUGAGCCUGGGAGGCAGACAUUGAGGUGAGCAGAGGUCACGCCACUGCACUCCAGCCUGGGUGACACAGCAAGAUCCUAUCUCAAAAUAAUAAUAAUAUCACACUGGUAUUUUCCUAAGGGAGUAGAUAUGAGGUGUUCUUGCCACAAAAAUAAGUAUAUACAAGAUGAUGGGUAUGUUUUAAUUUUUUCAAGCCCACACAAAAUCCAAAUGGAUAUAUUAAUUGGUUUGACUAUAGUAACCAUUUCAUUAUGUGUAUCAAAGCAUCACGUUGUAUGCCUUACAUAUAUACAAAACAUUAAUAAUUAAUAUAAAGGCCAGGCAUGGUGGCAUGUGCCUGUAGUUUCAGCUGCUCUGGAGGCUGAGGCGGGAGGAUCGGGAGGCCAGGAGGUCGAGGCUGCAGUGAGCCACGAUCAUGUCAUUUGCAACUCUAGCUUGGGCGACAGGACAAGACCCUGCCUCUAAAAAGUAAGAAUUAUUUUUUUUGCCACCGGCUGUUGCUGUCUUUGCAACACAUUUACUCCUCAUUUAAUAGCCCCACAGCCCUAUGGGGGAAGGGAGGGCCCUACUGCAAGAGUUUAUGGAUCGGAAAACUGAGGCCAGGAGGUGCCUGAGGCAGCCCUACUCCUAAGGAGAGGAGGCUGGUAGACUCAAACUGCAGUGCUCCUGGAUCAGAACAGAAGGCAUGGUCUCCUUCCCAGCCCAAACCCUUCCCUACAAAGCAAAAUAAUUAGACAAAGAAACCAAGUUGGUUAAAAAAAAAUCCCUUUAUAUUGCAACAGGGUUCAGAAUGACACCACCAGGUGUGGCCGGGCGACAGCU